rnacentral:sRNA from 1 species
GCCAGGUGUGGUGGCACAUGCCUGUAAUCCCAGGAGCUCAGGAGGCUGAAGCAGGAGGAUUGUGAGUUCAAAGCCAGCCUCAGCAAAAGCAAGGUGCUAAGCAACUCAAUGAGACCCUGUUUCUA